UGAAGCUUUUUAUCGCCUUUCCUCCAUCUUCUUCCUCUCGUCACGUUGAUCUACUCGACUCUUCGUCAGAUCCAGGACGUGAGAAGCCAUCCAGCCGCGUCGUCGUCGUCGGAGCUCAUCUACGUCGUCUACGGUCUUCACCGGGGACGUGCCACUCUGAGUCGCUCUUCUUCCUGUAUAUGGAUCCAUCUCAUCCGGUCUUGGAUAAGCUCGAGGAUCCAACCCCUUAGUUUAAGGGGCAAAUUGAUGUGAAAUCAUACGACCGAGUCGAUGGAUGCUCAAUGCUUUAGCGAGAAGGAUUUGUCUGAAAAUGAAAUCAAUCAUGCCACCAAAAAAUGUUUGCCAACUUGAAAGAGAUAUGUAGCGGUUAGCUCCAUUCUAAGGGACCAACCCGGUUCCACCUGAAAAUUCUGAUUGGUGGAAAUCCAUGGCAAUAAAGUCAUAGAAUCGGAGGAAGAACUUUGACUCGCUUGGCCGUCUCUUUAUUGAACUUGCUAAUGAUUCUUCUCCCGAGGACAAUCUGAAACUACUCAAGCCGGCGAUGUUGAGGUAAUUUCGAUCUCCUCCAACUCUUCAGGAACAAAUGUUAUGAAGAGGAUAACAUGAGCCGUCAAAAAGAUAAGUUUUCACACUGAGAUGCUUACUUAGAUCCAAACUUUCUUUUGAAACAAAAUCAACACGUUGCUCAGUCAAAGCUCAAGACCAGGAGUAGCUCUAGGGAACUGUACACUGGCUUACCUCUCGAGCUGGUCACGUGCAGGCAACGCUUUGAGGUGCCGCAUAGUCCAACUGUUUCUCAUCCCCAAGUUGGCCUUUUUAAACAACCUCUUAGUCCUUCUAAUUCACUUUAUCAAGAGUCACCGCCCUCCUCUAGUGACUCAACAACAAUACAACUUCUGGAUUUUACUAUCAAUCAUGGAGCCGUGGAUUUCGCCAGAAAAAAAGUGAGUGUGUCCUCUUCCGCUGUUGCGGAUUGCAACAUUCAAAAUCAGCCGGCAGAUAAAGCGGCGAAUCAUGUUGAGCUGUCGGGCCAAAAUAACCCAAAAUUAGGUACUGAGCCAGCUCAUGAUGUGGAGAUUACCCUGUUAGGUUGAUCUCUUUCCCAAUGGGCCCAACGACCCAUUGGACCUUGAUUCACGCCUUGAUCGGGGGCGUCCAGCGCAAGCAAGGCUGGUGGGCCCCUGUCGCGCAGUGCUAUAUGUAGAGG